UGAAUUUUCAACAUUCUCCCUCACAUCCACAUGUCUAUCUCCAAUUCAAGAAGGCUCCUCCUUCCCUCCGCCACGGCCGCCGCCAGUCCGCCGGAGCUAGCGCAGCCGCGUCCUGGGUUCGGGAGUUUCGACAUGAACGUAGUAAUGGUUCUUUCAGUUCUCCUCUGCGCUCUAAUUUGCUCUCUGGGUCUCAACGCCAUCUUAAAAUGCGCGUUGCGGUGCUCCACUUUGCUAGCCACCGUGUCAGGGGGGCGUCGUGGUGGGGCCUUGGUGGUACACCCGAAAGGUGUUCGACGAAAUGUCUUAAAGAAAUUCCCAACAGUGGAAUACUCAAAAGAGGGGAAUAAAUUGAGGGGAAUUGAUGGGGAGUGCGUGAUUUGUUUGUUGGAGUUCGAAGCAGGGGAUCGGGUUCGUGUAUUGCCUAAAUGCUUUCAUGGAUUCCAUGUUCAUUGCAUCGAUAAGUGGCUGAGUUCCCACACUUCUUGUCCCAAGUGUCGUAAUUGCCUCACUGACACUUGCCAUAAGAUCACCGCCGGCUGCGGCCAGGAGGCGGAGAGUUCUUCCUCUGUUGAACCACCGGCGGCGGAGGAGGUGGGUGUCAAUGUUGUUAUUGCUCCGGUGGAAAGGGAAGGUUUGAUAAGCAACUAUAGGGAAAGUAUUAGUAGAUGAGAUUGAAGUGGGAAGUGGGAAGUGGGAA
rnacentral:misc_RNA from 1 species